rnacentral:rRNA from 1 species
GACGAACGCGGGCGGCGUGCUUAACCAUGCAAGUCGAACGGAGCUAUUUAUUUCGGUAGAUAGCUUAGUGGCAAACGGGUGAGUAACGCGUAGGCAACCUGCCCUCAGGAUGGGGACAACGGCUCGAAAGAGCCGCUAAUACCGAAUGAGGUAACUCUUCCACAUGGAAGAGAUACUAAAGAUGGGUCAAACCAUCGCCUAAGGAUGGGCCUGCGUCUGAUUAGCCAGUUGGUGAGGUAACGGCUCACCAAAGCGACGAUCAGUAGCCGGUCUGAGAGGAUGAACGGCCACAAUGGGACUGAGACACGGCCCAUACUCCUACGGGAGGCAGCAGUGGGGAAUCUUCCGCAAUGGGCGAAAGCCUGACGGAGCAACGCCGCGUGAGUGAAGAAGGUCUUCGGAUCGUAAAGCUCUGUUGUCGGGGACGAAAGAGUAGACGAGGAAAUGCGUCUACUAAGAC